GUGAGGAAGAAGGCCGUGGGGUAUAAACUCCUUUUCUCAGAGAAGAAGUUCUGACGGUAUCUGAGGAAUAAGCUCCGGCUAACUCUGUGCCAGCAGCCGCGGUAAUACAGAGGGAGCAAGCGUUAUCCGGAAUGAUUGGGCGUAAAGCGUCUGUAGGUGGUUCUUUAAGUCUACUGUCAAAUACGUUGGCUCAACCAACGGCAGGCAGUGGAGUACUAAAGGACUAGAGUUCGGUAGAGGUAGAGGGAAUCCCUAGCGUAACAGUGAAAUGUGUAGAUUUUAGGGAGAACACCAGUGGCGAAGGCGCUCUACUGGGCCGAGACUGACACUGAGAGACGAAAGCUAGAGGAGCGAAUAGGAUUAGAUACCCUACUAGUUCUAGCUGUAAACGAUGGAAACUAAGUGGCGGCUUUGUCGCUGCUGUAGCUAACGCGUUAAAGUUUCCCGCCUGAGGAGUAUGCUCGCAAGAGUGAAACUCAAAGGAAUUGACGGGGACCUGCACAAGAGGUGGAUUA
rnacentral:rRNA from 1 species